AGAAGGCACCACCACCACUACCACCACCUGGAAGCAGUAUUGGUUUCACCUGCUGAGCUAGCUUAGUCCUGCCAGGGAGGCAUUUAGGCUAUUGCUUUUAAGCUAGCCACUGUACCUACGGUGUUCUGUCUGCAUUAAGGCAUGGGAUUAGUAUGCUGGCUGGGUUGGAUUUCAUGAUAUGUCCUCUUUUAUGCACCCACAGAGGUUUGUGGCAUCGAAGUAGCAAACAGAGAGGGGCAGAAGAUAAUGCAUGUUUUCCUGCCUGAUUCUUCCGAGGAUGGAAUAAUGAUGGAAGUGAACUCCCUAUGCAUCAAGUUUCCAGGUCCCAGAUGGAGUAUGCGGUGCAAAGAGAGUCUGGAGGGGAGAGGCUCUUCCUAAUCUAAAAACUGCAGGAGACCUGCUGUGGUUCAGGCUUGAAUCUGAAUGUGGAUCUUCUGCAUCCUAACUGAAUGUCGCCGGUUUCAGGCUGUUCCUUAGGAGAUUCGCUUUUCUGGAUCAGAGCAAGAGAAAUUUCAAGCAACAGUUCUUGGAAAACAUAUGGAGAUCAGCCUGGGAGUUUUGUAAGGUAGAGGCAUUUAUUUGUCUGGCAGAAGGCUGUUCAUGGCUGCAGGAGGCAGCUCCGCCAUUGCAGGCAGCGUGGAUGGCUGUGGGUGGCUCCUCCUCAGCUGGGGCAGAUGUAAUUCCCAGAGUGAAAGCCAAGAUCACCCUCUCGUUUUGUUGCUAUUGAUUCGUUACAACGUUUGUGGUCUAAUGCUUACUAUUUGUGAGAAGCCACAUUGCAUAAAUAAAGCUGCCACCUCUGCCUUGAAAUGAAGUCGUGAUCCAGUGAAUAAUGGAUCGCUAAUCUCAUUUGAGACAAAAACCUCAAUG